CCGUGCUCGGCGGAGCUCCCGAGCCUGCGUCUUGCUGCCCCGUCGCAUGUUGCUUACUCGGAACCGUUUGGUCCCGGUGCAGCGGUGGCGGGCAUGUGAUCGCGGGCUCGGUUGUGGCCGUGUCGGCAUAUGAGUGGUUUUGGAUCCGAAUGUCCUGACGGGCUCCCUGCCUAUGUGCAGCCAACCGUCGGCGACGCGGUCCGUUCAUUUUCGUCGCCCGAGGAUCCUUUGAGUCUCGGUGCGUGGCUAAGUUGCCUGUGCGUAAAACCCCAUUUUAUGGGAACGACAUCUCGACCAUGCGCUCGACUCGCCCCAUCCUGCCUACAGGCACAGAGGGGCGGCACUACAUGCGAUCCUCAAGUUUUCCCCGGGAUGCGGGUGGUCAUGUUCGGCCGUCCGCACUCGGUGGGUGCUCGAGGCAUCGCAAGGACUUGCGGAAGCAGUGUAUGCGGAGAUCCCGUGGGCCGUGGCCUUCGGCCUCCUCUCGGUUGCGAUUCGGCUAUAAAAAAAAGUCGAUCCCGUUCGAAUGACUCUCGAGCCGCCGUAACCUCUCACCUCCCCUCCUGGGGAAGGCGCGGGGCACGACGACCGAUGUCAUCGAGGGCGUGC
rnacentral:misc_RNA from 1 species